rnacentral:rRNA from 1 species
GGGGAGUAUGGUCGCAAGGCUGAAACUUAAAGAAAUUGACGGAAGGGCACCACCAGGGGUGGAACACUGCGGCUUAAUUUGACUCAACACGGGGAAACUCACCAGGUCCAGACACAGUGAGGAUUGACAGAUUGAGAGCUCUUUCUUGAUUCUGUGGGUGGUGGUGCAUGGCCGUUCUUAGUUGGUGGAGUGAUUUGUCUGCUUAAUUGCGAUAACGAACGAGACCUUAACCUGCUAAAUAGCCCGUACUGCUUUGGCAGUUCGCCGGCUUCUUAGAGGGACUAUCGGCUCAAGCCGAUGGAAGUUUGAGGCAAUAACAGGUCUGUGAUGCCCUUAGAU